AACUGAUUUUAUGUGUGCAGUUUCCGAACGCGUGCGAGUCAAGACAGCACUUCUUCCCAUUGCACUAGAGAGAGAGAGAGAGAGAGAGAGAGGAUGGAGAAGCGUGGUGCGAUGGUAAGCAACAAGCAAAUGGCGCUGAGUGACUACGUGAGCUGUUAUCCCACAGUGGACGACAUGGAGGUGAGGAGGGAAGAGAUGAAGCUGGAGGUUCCUCGAGGGUCGAAAGCGGUGGUGGUGAAGAAUCUCUACUUGUCCUGCGACACCUACAUGCGCCUCCUCAGGAACCGAACUGCCGACGAAUUGCUCAAGCCUUACACUCCCGGCUCCGUGAUGUUGGAAAAUGCAGCCAAUUACUGGGUUUGGAGUUUCCAGAAUUGUGGACUCCGGGAGCCCAAAUUUCAAAGUGGGCGAUUUAGUUUGGGGCACGACUGGAUGAGAAGAGUUCAGUCUCAUCACCAACCCUGAAGGCCUCGAGCACACUGAUGUGCCUCUUUCCUACUACCUUGGCAUUCUUGGUAUGUUCCGCUAAGAAAGGAGAGACCGUCUUCGUAUCGGCGGCGGCUGGUGCGAUUGGACAGAUCGUGGGACGGUUCGCAAAGCUGAUGGGGUGUUAUGUUGUUGGCUGCGCCGGAAGCAAAGAAAAGGUUCGGGGGCUGUUGUGUUUCGAACUUUAUUGUUCUCCCUAGCUUAUUUGCAGGGCUAAAAUGAAUUCACCAUAAGUGAUACUCCACAAAAUUGUUUACCUACAUACACUGCUCUCUUUUUGGCCCAAAUACGCAGGUUGAUAUGUUGAAGAACACGUUUGGUUUCGACGAUGCAUUCAACUACAAAGAAGAACGCGAUCUUGAUGCUGCUUUGAAGAGGCUUGUGGCCACAAGUUUUUUUUAUGAAUCCAUGACUGUUUCUUUCGCGAAUCAAACGUUUGCAUUAAGCUAGGGGUCGGUUCCCUAAAUAUCGAAACUUCAUGCCAAAACAUGUCCUAGACAUAUAGAACGCGACGUUAAGUUGUUGUGAGCUGCUGCAACAUUAAAAAGAAUACAGAGUUGUGAUGACUUGCAUGUUUGAACUAUUGACAGAUGUUUUCCUGAAGGUAUUGAUAUCUAUUUCAACAAUGUCGAGGGCAAAAUGCUCGAGGCGGUGCUACUCAACAUGAAAGUUCGCCACAGGAUAGCCUUGUGUGGUAUGGUGUCGCCGUACAGUAGCGAUUCGCAUGAGCGAGUCACCAACUUGAUGCACGCCAUCUGCAAACGAGUCCGUAUUGAGGGAUUCGCUGUCUAUGAUCACUUCGCCGCGUACCCCAAGUUCCUGGAAUUCCUGCUGCCUCACAUCAGGGAGGGGAAGAUAGUGUACAUCGAGGAUACAGCGGAAGGGCUCGAUGAUGGUCCGUCGGCUUUAUUUCGGCUCUUGAACGGUGGCAAUGUCGGAAAACAACUAGUAGAAGUAGCAAGAGAAUGAGGACGUGCACCCGUGUACUUGAUCCACUCUGCUGUGAUGAGAAUGAGUUUUGAUGGCCAGUUUGAUGGCAAUAACGAAAUAAGGCUGUUCCUGUAAUAACCAGUUAUACAGUAUCGAGAUAUUUACA